UAGGGAAUCUUCGGCAAUGGGGGGAACCCUGACCGAGCAACGCCGCGUGAGUGAAGAAGGUUUUCGGAUCGUAAAGCUCUGUUGUUAAGGAAGAACGAGUGUGAGAAUGGAAAGUUCAUGCUGUGACGGUACUUAACCAGAAAGGGACGGCUAACUACGUGCCAGCAGCCGCGGUAAUACGUAGGUCCCGAGCGUUGUCCGGAUUUAUUGGGCGUAAAGCGAGCGCAGGCGGUUAGAAAAGUCUGAAGUGAAAGGCAGUGGCUCAACCAUUGUAGGCUUUGGAAACUGUUGAACUUGAGUGCAGAAGGGGAGAGUGGAAUUCCAUGUGUAGCGGUGAAAUGCGUAGAUAUAUGGAGGAACACCGGUGGCGAAAGCGGCUCUCUGGUCUGUAACUGACGCGGAGGCUCGAAAGCGUGGGGAGCGAACAGG
rnacentral:rRNA from 1 species